UACGUAGGGUGCAAGCGUUAAUCGGAAUUACUGGGCGUAAAGCGUGCGCAGGCGGCUUUGCGAGACAGAUGUGAAAUCCCCGGGCUCAACCUGGGAACUGCAUUUGUGACUGCAAGGCUGGAGUACGGUAGAGGGGGAUGGAAUUCCGCGUGUAGCAGUGAAAUGCGUAGAGAUGUGGAGGAACACCGAUGGCGAAGGCAGCCCCCUGGGCUGAGAUUGACGCUCAGGCACGAAAGCGUGGGGAGCAAACAGG
rnacentral:rRNA from 1 species